CGCGGACGCUGCGUUACCAUGCAAGUCGAACGAUGAUGCCCAUCUUGCUGGGUGGAUUAGUGGCGAACGGGUGAGUAAUACGUGAGUAACCUGCCCUUGACUCUGGGAUAAGCCUGGGAAACUGGGUCUAAUACUGGAUACUACCGUCCAUCGCAUGGUGGGUGGUGGAAAGGGUUUUACUGGUUUUGGAUGGGCUCACGGCCUAUCAGCUUGUUGGUGGGGUAAUGGCUCACCAAGGCGACAACGGGUAGCCGGCCUGAGAGGGUGACCGGCCCCGCUGGGACUGAAACGCGGCCCAUACUCCUACGGGAGGCAGCGGUGGGUAUUAUUGCACGAUGGGCGGAAUCCUGAUGCAGCGACGCCUCGUGAAGGAUGACGGCCUUCUGGUUGUAAACUUCUUUCAGUAAGGAAAAACCGAGAUUGACGGUACCUGCAGAAUAACCGCCGGCUAACUACGUGCCACCACCCGCGGUAAUACGUAGGGCGCAAGCGUUGUCCGGAAUUAUUGGGCGUAAAGAGCUCGUAGGCGGUUUGUCUCGUCUGCUGUGAAAGCCCGGGGCUCAACCCCGGGUCUGCAGUGGGUACGGGCAUACUAUAGUGCACUUAGGGGAGACUGUAAUUCCUGGUGUAGCGGUGAAAUGCGCAGUAUAUCAGGAGGAACACCGAUGGCGAAGGCAGGUCUCUGGGCUGUUACUGACGCUGAGGAGCUAAAGCAUGGGGAGCGAACAGGAUUGGAUACCCUGGUAGUCCAUGCCCUAAACGUUUUCGCACCUACGUAGUGGGAGGACAUUUCAGUGUUUCGCGGCGUCCGUUAUCUAAAGCAAUUAUAUGCCACCGCCUGGAGGAGUACCGCCUCGACGACUACUACCUCAAAGGAAAUUGAGGGGAGAGCCAGUAGCAGCGGCCGCAGCAUGCGGAUUAAUCGUUGGCGACUCAUACAUCUUACGAGGCUUGACUUUCUCCGCAUCGCUCGUAGAGGUCGUUUCUCCUUACGGGGUCGGUCGACAAGAUGGUAGCAUGCUGUCGUCAGCCUCAUGUCCGUGAGAUCGUAGGUGAGUGCGACAACGAGCUGCAGUCCUCUUCUAUCUACCGCUCGUCGAUGUGGACUCAUAGCAACUGGACAGGAUCACCUGGUAGCAUCGUGGGAUGACGUCAUCACUUAGCCUAGUCUGCUUCCGUUCCAAGUCGCUACAGCGUCGAGUCUGUCAGUGGACGUAGUCA
rnacentral:rRNA from 1 species